CACUGGAGACCCUACAGAGGAACCUGAGUGCCGUCCUUGGAGCCUUGGCAGAGGAGGCAGAGGUGCGCAAAUGUCCUGGGGCAAAGGGACUCUACACAUUCUGUGCUACGUACAGAUUUGUACCUCCAGGCCGAUGUUUUGCCCCACCUCGCCUGCCUCUCUAAAAUCUUUCAGAAAGCACAUGUACAUUUCUUACAUAUCAAAGAGCAGGUAUGAUAAAUGUGCACAAUCUAAUUCAAAUCUGCUUGAUGUGAUGCAUUGAAAUUAUUGUUUGCAUGCACUAAAUGGCAGGAAAUGAGGCUGGACAAACUCCACUCCCUGGAUCCUUCUUGUCUCGCCUCCAUGAGGACCUUGAUUAUCCGCAAGGACUUGGAGCCUUUAACAUUCAGCACGAGGAGGAGAGGGAUAGGAGAGGGCGAGAGGUCCAAGAUGAGUCACGGGUGGGGAAAUGGGCCAGAUUCCAGCGAGAGAUCAUUCACCCGUACAUAACUGGCCUGGAAAAAAAUCUGGAGAAGGGAUUCCAUAAUCUGGACAUCCUUGGAGCCUUCCAUGUCUUGGGGCCACAGUCAGCUGCUCUAAAAUAUGACACAGUGAAUAUCGCUCAUCUGCAAACUCUUUCAAGGAAAUGUUGCCCUCAACAUGAGAAGGAAGUAAUUCAGGAGUAGCUCUCGUUCAAGAACCAUGUCCUUACUGGGAUAUUCAAGGUGAGUGAAUGAAUUGACCUGACUCUUCACUCACAACACACACACACACUAAUGCCAUGACAAACCCUUAUCUUUCAAGAACAAGAACCAGGAGGAGCUCUUGAGUUUACUGGCAAGUGAAUUUGAUGAGUGGGCCAACCUCUACCCUUGCCUGAACCUUCUUGCGAGCAUUGCUCUGGUUAUCCCUGUUUCCUCAGUCAACUGCGAACGGGAUUUCUCCACAAUGAACAGAGUGAAAACAGACCUCAGGAACCAACUACAGAGAGAACACCUGGCAGCUUGCCUGAGGAUCUCCAUCAAUGGACCAUCUCCUGAAGCCUUCCCGUAUAAUAGGGCAUUAGAAACUUGUUUUUAGCAAGCCCCGCAAAAUACGUUGGUCUAACAAAAGUUGCAGACUUUGCUCAUGUAACAAGAAGUAGUAUAGGGUGUGACAUGUGUACUGUACUACAGUUUAGGGAAGUUGUAUAUAGUGUGAAUAAUAUAGUUCCAUCUAGUGAUGUGUUUUUUUAUAUGACUUUACGAGGCCUUGUUUUAAAUGAACGCCAAUAAAGUUCUGUGCUAAUUAAUACUGAACGAAUGAUUCCUUCGCCCGCACCCCCCCCCCCCCCCCGGUCGGCCCCCACACAUUGAGGUUGGAUUUGUGGGAAACACUGAGAACAGACCUACCCGCAGUCUCUGAGGGUUUUAUGUGUUAAUUACUUUGUCUUUGCAUCGUACCAGCUGAGUAACAGAAUGC